rnacentral:misc_RNA from 1 species
CCGAGUGAGGGCCCCCGGCCCGACCUCCAACCCUUUGUAAACCGACCCUGUUGCCUCGGGGGACUCCGGCGUCUUCGGGCGCCGGGCCCCCGGUGGACCCCCCAACUCUGCGUCUUUGCGUCUGAGUCUUGAAUGAUAAAUCAAUAA